GGGCUACUCUCUAUUGGCAUACGGUUAUAUGUUCAUCACAUAUUUCAGCUGAUACGCCAAAGGAGAGCUGCCCUG